UGGGCUAAUCACGGUUGGACAUCGUGAGGUUAGUGCAAUGGCAUAAGCCCGCUUAACUGCGAGAAUGACGGUUCGAGCAGGUGCGAAAGCAGGUCAUAGUGAUCCGGUGGUUCUGUAUGGAAGGGCCAUCGCUCAACGGAUAAAAGGUACUCCGGGGAUAACAGGCUGAUACCGCCCAAGAGUUCAUAUCGACGGCGGUGUUUGGCACCUCGAUGUCGGCUCAUCACAUCCUGGGGCUGAAGUCGGUCCCAAGGGUAUGGCUGUUCGCCAUUUAAAGUGGUACGCGAGCUGGGUUUAGAACGUCGUGAGACAGUUCGGUCCCUAUCUGCCGUGGGCGUUGGAAGAUUGAAGGGGGCUGCUCCUAGUACGAGAGGACCGGAGUGGACGAACCUCUGGUGUUCGGGUUGUGUCGCCAGACGCAUUGCCCGGUAGCUAAGUUCGGAAUUGAUAAGCGCUGAAAGCAUCUAAGCGCGAAGCGAGCCCUGAGAUGAGUCUUCCCUGACAGUUUAACU
rnacentral:rRNA from 1 species